rnacentral:rRNA from 1 species
AACGAACGCUGGCGGCGCGUCUUAAGCAUGCAAGUCGAACGGCAAGAGAGGAGCUUGCUUCUCUCCUAGAGUGGCGGACUGGUGAGGAACACGUGGGUAAUCUACCCUUAAGAUGGGGAUAGCUGCUAGAAAUAGCAGGUAAUACCGAAUACACUCGGCAUAUCACAAGAGGUGUUGAGGAAAGGAAGCUACGGCUUCGCUUGAGGAUGAGCUUGCGUCCCAUUAGCUAGUUGGUGAGGUAAAGGCCCACCAAGGCGACGAUGGGUAUCCGGCCUGAGAGGGUGAACGGACACAUUGGGACUGAGAUACGGCCCAAACUCCUACGGGAGGCAGCAGCUAAGAAUAUUCCGCAAUGGACGGAAGUCUGACGGAGCGACGCCGCGUGGAUGAAGAAGGCUGAAAAGUUGUAAAAUCCUUUUGUUGAUGAAGAAUAAGGGUGAGAGGGAAUGCUCAUCUGAUGACGGUAAUCGACGGAUAAGCCCCGGCUAAUUACGUG